CCUACGGGUGGCAGCAGUGGGGGAUAUUGCACAAUGGGGGGAACCCUGAUGCAGCGACGCCGCGUGUGGGAAGACGGUCCUCUGGAUUGUAAACCACUGUCCCCAGGGACGAAAAUGACGGUACCUGGGGAGGAAGCUCCGGCUAACUACGUGCCAGCAGCCGCGGUAAUACGUAGGAGGGAGCGUUUUACGGAAUUAAUGGGUGAAAAGGGGGCGUAGGGGGGGAUGCAAGUUGGGUGUCAAAACUACCGGCUCAAUUGGUAGUCGCACUCAAAACUGCAGCUCUUGAGUGAAGUAGAGGCAGGCGGAAUUCCUAGUGUAGCGGUGAAAUGCGUAGAUAUUAGGAGGAACACCAGUGGCGAAGGCGGCCUGCUGGGCUUUUACUGAUGCUGAGGCUCGAAAGUGUGGGGAGCAAACAGGAUUAGAUACCCGUGUAGUC
rnacentral:rRNA from 1 species